rnacentral:rRNA from 1 species
UACGAAGGGGGCGAGCGUUGUUCGGAAUCACUGGGCGUAAAGGGUGCGUAGGCGGGUCUUUAAGUCAGGGGUGAAAUCCUGGAGCUCAACUCCAGAACUGCCUUUGAUACUGAGGAUCUUGAGUCCGGGAGAGGUGAGUGGAACUGCGAGUGUAGAGGUGAAAUUCGUAGAUAUUCGCAAGAACACCAGUGGCGAAGGCGGCUCACUGGCCCGGUACUGACGCUGGGGCACGAAAGCGUGGGGAGCAAACAGG